rnacentral:tRNA from 1 species
AGGUCUGUAGCUCGAAUUGGCUUAGAGCGCCGGACUCCAAAUCCGGAGGUUGUGGGUUCGAGCCCCACCAGACCUG